UGGGGAAUUUUGGACAAUGGGCGAAAGCCUGAUCCAGCAAUGCCGCGUGUGUGAAGAAGGCCUUCGGGUUGUAAAGCACUUUUGUCCGGAAAGAAAUGGCUCUGGUUAAUACCUGGGGUCGAUGACGGUACCGGAAGAAUAAGGACCGGCUAACUACGUGCCAGCAGCCGCGGUAAUACGUAGGGUCCAAGCGUUAAUCGGAAUUACUGGGCGUAAAGCGUGCGCAGGCGGUUGUGCAAGACCGAUGUGAAAUCCCCGAGCUUAACUUGGGAAUUGCAUUGGUGACUGCACGGCUAGAGUGUGUCAGAGGGGGGUAGAAUUCCACGUGUAGCAGUGAAAUGCGUAGAGAUGUGGAGGAAUACCGAUGGCGAAGGCAGCCCCCUGGGAUAACACUGACGCUCAUGCACGAAAGCGUGGGGAGCAAACAGGAUUAGAUACCCUGGUAGUCCACGCCCUAAACGAUGUCAACUAGUUGUUGGGAUUCAUUUCCUUAGUAACGUGGCUAACGCGUGAAGUU
rnacentral:rRNA from 1 species